GCAUCAAUGAUGAAAACUAAAAUUAUGAAGAGAGAUGAUGGCAUAAAAAUCAUGCUCAAUUGGAUUAUGCCAAAUCC
ensembl:snoRNA LOC120100287 small nucleolar RNA SNORD115